rnacentral:misc_RNA from 1 species
AAUUUCUCUAAGAAAAAUCAGAAAAAAAACAAAGAAGUAAAGAAAUCAAAUGUUCUGGAAGAUCUCCAUCCAAAUGUUAAUGAUGAUAUACUAAAAAAACAAGCUCAGAAAGAAUGCUCUCCAAUUGCUUGAGAAAGACAACAUCAAACUUUUGAGGGAAGUACCUAAACUCAAACGUAAUUUUCUAAGGUAAAAAAAAUGCAGCUCUCAUUCACCAUGCUACAAUGUUAGGUGCACCCCAAAAUGAUUCACAUGGAAUUCCUGAAGAAACCAAACAUGAAGCCAAAGAAAACAUUGCGAAGUAAUCUUGACUUGAAUAUAUGACAGGAACUAGAAACAUAGAAAAUAUGAGGCAAGAAUUCUAACUUUCAAGAAAAUAAACAUGCCGAGUUUGUGUUGCUCAGAGUGAGAUCAAUUUUGUUAUACCCAUUGUUAGCAGAAAUCGCAGAAGCCCUAGCAAUUGCAUUAUAAAUGAAUGAUCCAAUUUAAAAUAUAUAUAUAUAUAUCCUCGUUUAAGGUUGCGCGAUGCUACGAUAACGUAGUUGUGAUAAGGCCACAAUCACAGGCAUGAAGUCUAAGACAUUCCAGGUACAAAGUUUAAAACUUUUCCCCUAUCUUCUUUUUGAUUUUAUGCAAACAAUUUCAUCCAGAACAAAUCCCAUUUUGUGCCUCCAAACCCUAGAAUCUCCCUUUCAAAACUCUA